UUGGCCUCUGGCAGCUCCCAUUCGGUAAUGGCCGCUGGAAAAUGACUUCCGAUGCAGAGGGCGGGCACGGCCUUGGCUGACCGUUUACUCAGGGACCAGCGGGGCCAGGCUGCCCGCUGUCCUUUCGGGACGCUCGGCGUGGAUUCCGGUCAAUAGCCUGUUUUAGGAAACGCCGAAGCCAGAUUUUAAAACGAGAGGAGAUCUGCCGGCCCCUGGGCACGCACGGCGACCGGACGCCGGGGGUAAAGGCCGCGGUUCGAGGCCUCUCCGACGGGUCUGUCUCCAGCAAGGGCUCUCUCCACCCCCCUCUGCCCAGUGCCCACCUCCUCAGCCCCUGCACCCGUCCCGGCUUGGAAAGGACACACUUCCUGGACCGGGGUUGGCUGUAUUUUUGUUUUGGGUUUUUGGUUUUGUUUUUAAGAAGAACUGUAUUUUUUCCCUUCGGGUAGGGAAAAAGUCUCUCUUGAAAUGUGAUCCUCCUCCCAGAUAAGUAAUGGCAACCCCCUCGAAUGGAAAGUGGGAGCGGACACGGGUUCUGAGUGCGGCGGGCAGCGCUUCUGAUUGGAAACGGCUAAGAGGGAGUUUUCCUUGGAGGCCGCCCAGCGGACUUGGAACCAAACACAACAGAGAUUUGCUUGAGCGUCCCUCUGACCUGAGCAGUAGAACAGCGUGCACCCCUGGGAUGUGCGGGCUGAUGCCUCCCCUCCAGGCUCCCCAAGCGGACACAGCUACUGGACCACACAGGCAGACGGGAAAGUAGGCACCUUCUUCCUAACACAGUCAUGGUGUCGGCGAUCUCUCGGCUGAGGGGACACGCUCCAGGUCCCGGAAAAGAGACGGUGGGAGGAAAUGAAUAAACGGCAGCUUCCUACACUUGGCCAUCAACAACAGCAAAGCACACGAGAAGAGCCGGGUGCAGGAGUCAGCAUGGGCUUGCUCAUUCCUGGCACCCAGGCGCUUCUCCCACUCAGAGCUCACGGCGGGUUUGGGCAGCAGCCCAGGAGGUUUCUCCAAAGACACUGAGCCCCUCGCCCUUGGUGCAGGGGCCAGGCUGUGCGCGUGUUAGGAGCAGGCUCUCCGUCUCUCCAAGACAUAGGCUCACGAGGACUGUGCGGAGGAGCUGUUGUCUGCUAUGGUCUCCAAGGCACCGUGUAAUCGUAACCCAAUACUAACAGGAUAGUAGGUCAUGUA